GAGCGGAUGACGGGAGCUUGCUCCUUGAUUCAGCGGCGGACGGGUGAGUAAUGCCUAGGAAUCUGCCUGGUAGUGGGGGACAACGUUUCGAAAGGAACGCUAAUACCGCAUACGUCCUACGGGAGAAAGCAGGGGACCUUUGGGCCUUGCGCUAUCAGAUGAGCCUAGGUCGGAUUAGCUAGUUGGUGGGGUAAUGGCUCACCAAGGCGACGAUCCGUAACUGGUCUGAGAGGAUGAUCAGUCACACUGGAACUGAGACACGGUCCAGACUCCUACGGGAGGCAGCAGUGGGGAACAUUGGACAAUGGGCGAAAGCCUGAUCCAGCCAUGCCGCGUGUGUGAAGAAGGUCUUCGGAUUGUAAAGCACUUUAAGUUGGGAGGAAGGGCAGUAAGUUAAUACCUUGCUGUUUUGACGUUACCGACAGAAUAAGCACCGGCUAACUCUGUG
rnacentral:rRNA from 1 species